rnacentral:rRNA from 1 species
GACGAACGCUGGCGGCGUGCUUAACACAUGCAAGUCGAACGGAAAGGCCCUGCUUUUGUGGGGUGCUCGAGUGGCGAACGGGUGAGUAACACGUGAGUAACCUGCCCUUGACUUUGGGAUAACUUCAGGAAACUGGGGCUAAUAUCGGAUAGGAGCUCCUGCUGCAUGGUGGGGGAUGGAAAGUUUCGGCGGUUGGGGAUGGACUCGCGGCUUAUCAGCUUGUUGGUGGGGUAGUGGCUUACCAAGGCUUUGACGGGUAGCCGGCCUGAGAGGGUGACCGGCCACAUUGGGACUGAGGUACGGCCCAGACGCCUACGGGAGGCAGCAGUGGGGAAUAUUGCACAAUGGGCGGAAGCCUGAUGCAGCAACGCCGCGUGCGGGAUGACGGCCUUCGGGUUGUAAACCGCUUUCGCCUGUGACGAAGCGUGAGUGACGGUAAUGGGUAAAAAAGCACCGGCUAACUACGUG